AGGGCAGUAGUGUUUACAACAAAUUGAUCACAACCAGUUUCAGAUUUCUUUGUUCCUUCUCCACUCCCACUGUUUCACCUUAAA
rnacentral:sRNA from 1 species